rnacentral:rRNA from 1 species
UACGUAGGGUGCGAGCGUUAAUCGGAAUUACUGGGCGUAAAGCGUGCGCAGGCGGUUUUGUAAGCCAGGUGUGAAAUCCCCGGGCUCAACCUGGGGAAUGGCAUUUGAGACUGAAUAGCUAGGGUGCGGAAGAGGGAAGCGGAAUUUCCGGUGUAGCGGUGAAAUGCGUAGAUAUUGGGAGGAACACCAGUGGCGAAGGCGGCUCACUGGACCGGUACUGACGCUGAUGCGCGAAAGCGUGGGGAGCAAACGGGG